rnacentral:rRNA from 1 species
ACGGGUGAGUAACGCGUGGGAAUCUACCGUACCCUACGGAAUAGCUCUGGGAAACUGGAAGUAAUACCGUAUACGCCCUAACGGGGAAAGAUUUAUCGGGGUAUGAUGAGCCCGCGUUGGAUUAGCUAGUUGGUGGGGUAAAGGCCUACCAAGGCGACGAUCCAUAGCUGGUCUGAGAGGAUGAUCAGCCACAUUGGGACUGAGACACGGCCCAAACUCCUACGGGAGGCAGCAGUGGGGAAUAUUGGACAAUGGGCGCAAGCCUGAUCCAGCCAUGCCGCGUGAGUGAUGAAGGUCUUAGGAUUGUAAAGCUCUUUCAACGGUGAAGAUAAUGACGGUAACCGUAGAAGAAGCCCCGGCUAACUUCGUGCCAGCAGCCGCGGUAAUACGAAGGGGGCUAGCGUUGUUCGGAAUUACUGGGCGUAAAGCGCACGUAGGCGGGUAUUUAAGUCAGGGGUGAAAUCCCGCAGCUCAACUGCGGAACUGCCUUUGAUACUGGGUAUCUUGAGUAUGGAAGAGGUAAGUGGAAUUGCGAGU